UGCAGUCGACGGCAGCACGGGCUUCGGCCUGGUGGCGAGUGGCGAACGGGUGAGUAAUACAUCGGAACGUGCCCUGUAGUGGGGGAUAACUAGUCGAAAGAUUAGCUAAUACCGCAUACGACCUGAGGGUGAAAGCGGGGGACCGCAAGGCCUCGCGCUACAGGAGCGGCCGAUGUCUGAUUAGCUAGUUGGUGGGGUAAAGGCCCACCAAGGCGACGAUCAGUAGCUGGUCUGAGAGGAGCGAUUUCAGCCACACUGGGGGACUGAGACACCGGCCCCAGACUCCUACGGGGAGGCAGCAGUGGGGAAUUUUUGGACAAUGGGGGGCAACCCCUGAUCCCAGCAAUGCCGGCGUGUGUGAAGAAGGCCUUUCGGGUUGUAAAGCACUUUUGUCCGGAAAGAAAUGGCCUGGGUGAAUACCCCGGGGUCGGUUGCGGUACCGGGAGAAUAAGCACCGGCUAACUACGUGCCAGCAGCCGCGGUAAUUCGUAGGGUGCGAGCGUUAAUUGGAAUUUACUGGGGUAAAGCGUGGGCCGGGGGUUUUAUAAGACAGGCGUGAAAUCCCCGAGGUUUACCUUGGGAAUGGGGUUUUGGCUGUCAGGGCUGAGUAUGUCAGGGGGGGGGUGAAUUCCCAGUUUAAGCGUGAAAUUGGUUGGGGUUUGGGAGGAAUCCGGUUGGGAAGGGCGGCCCCUUGGGACUCCCUUGCGCUCAUGCACGAAAGCGUGGGGGAGCAAACGGGAUUGGUUCCCUGGGUGUCCCAGGCCCUAAACGAUUUCAACUAGUUGUUGGGGAUUCUUUUCUUCGUUACGUUAGUUAACGCUUGAGUUUGCCCGCCUGGGGGUUAGGUUCGCAAGUUUAAAACUCAAGGGAUUUGAGGGGGCCCGGCCAAGGGGGUGGAUGUUUUGGAUUAAUUCGAUGCAACGCAAAAAACUUUCCUUCCCCUUGCCAUGCCCUUAACGAAGAAGGGAGCAUUUAGUUGCCCGAAGGGGAAAGUGGACACGGUUGCUGCUUGGCUGUCGUCAGCUCGUUUCGUGAGAUGUUGGGGUUAAGUCCCGCAACGAGCGCAACCCUUGUCUCUAGUUGCUACGCAAGAGCACUCUAAGAGAGACUGCCGGGUGACAAACCGGGAGGAAGGGUGGGGAUGACGUCAAGUCCUCAUGGCCCCUUAUGGGGUAAGGGCUUCACACGUCAUACAAUGGUGCCGUACAGAGGGGUUGCCCCACCCGCGGGGGGGGAGCUAAUCCCAGAAAACGCAUCGUAGUCCGGAUCGUAGUCUGCAACUCGACUACGUGAAGCUGGAAUCGCUAGUAAUCGCGGAUCAGCAUGCCGCGGUGAAUACGUUCCCGGGUCUUGUACACACCGCCCGUCACACCAUGGGAGUGGGUUUUGCCAGAAGUAGUUAGCCUAACCGCAAGGAGGGCGAUUACCACGGCAGGGUUCAUGACUGGGGUGAAGUCGUAA
rnacentral:rRNA from 1 species